CAAGUUGCACAAGCCAUUGCCUGCUUUGUUCGUGUAUAUUUUGGCUUUGUCUGUUCAUGAAAGAGCUGGAUCUCACUGCUGUGGUGGAAGUUUGCUCAGCAGAGUGCUGCAGAAUGGCUUUUCUGCUCUCUCUGAAGAUCUGGGAUGAAGAACCAUGACCCAGGGAGAUUUGUUCUGAGCAGAAUCUGAAUCUGUACCUGCAAUCAUUACAUGAUUUUUCUUCAUUAGAGAGGACUGUGUAUACCUCUUUCUCUCACUUGACCAGCCUGGGUACAGGUAUCACCUCCUAUGCACAGCUGGAUUGAACCAGAACACCUGGAACUGUGACAAUUUAAAGCUGUCCGACCUGACUCCUGGAAGCUGCACCAUGUAAGAUGCAGGUUCUGUUCCAUUGCCAUCUGCAGCCUGACAUGGAGGUGACUCCAGAUGAGGGCUGAUUGGCUCAGACAUACUGACAAGAGUGCUCUGGGAUUUUUAUUCCUGGGAUUAUCAAAAAGUAUGGAUGCACAAUUACUUCUAGUUGUUUUACUUCUGGAGAAGAGCUAGUUCCUGGUCUGAGUGUUUGCCUUUGAGAUGUUCAUCAGUGGAUGCUGCAAGAUGACUAAAGUCAUUCUAGAAUUUGGACCCCAUCAGCAAAGAACCAGGUGACCAUAAAUCACAUGGUCAGAUAUUACAUCAGCUUCUUAUCAUUUACUGGCAAAAACACUGUAUAUCCAUAAUAAACAAUGGAAUAAUAAAAGCAAAAAGAAGCCCCUGAUUAUUUUUCACAUUUUGGUAUGAAUCUGCCUCAUCCGUGUUUUUGUGUUUCACUUACUGUCAAUAUUCUAUCAAACAAAUUCAUUGAGCGAAGAUCUAUGGAUUUUAGAAGGUUACAGGCUAUCUAUAGGGAAUAAGAGCUGACACCAAUUUGAUUAAUGAUCUGAUAUAAUAAAAACUUAGCCCCUCAAAAUAUAUCAAAUCUCGGGAAAACAAACAAACAAGCAAAACAAAACAAAACAAAAAAUCAAACAACAACAACCACCAACAUUGAGUUAAUUCUAAAUUGUCCAAAUGUUCACCUUUUUUGUAGCCGGGAGAGCAGAGAUGUUACGGUUAACCUCCUGCUAGGCACGUACACCAGAUGUUACACUACUUAAUAAUGUUGCACUUGCACGUGUGUGGUGAUCUAGAGCAUCCAGCUCAGGCACUUGAAUUUCUGCAGUGAAGCGUUGUAUGCAGCAGCACGGUAUUGGGUGCUUCUUGGCAGAAACCCAACUAGUGACAUACUGAGCAGCUUACUGGUGAGAAAGGCUACUUGCCAAGGUAUGUUUGAGCUCCCUCCCUUUCUGGCA